rnacentral:ncRNA from 2 species
UAUCCGCCUCGAUCUCAGGGUGCCGCCUAACUAGGGAAGGCGGAGAAUUGGGAAGCCGGCAGGGGUCUUGAAAACCUCGAUCCGGCGCUGCCCCCGCAACGGUGGUGGAGCAAUAAAGCUUGGCAUAGGCCACUGGGAAAGAGCCGGAAAGGCCGCCCGGGAAGGCGCCGAGCCCGUCCCGAAGGGGACAAGCUCCUGAGCCCGGAAACCAGCCCACGGGACAAAAGAUGA